CAGACAAGUAUUACUUUUCUUUUCGAACUUAGAGUUGCCUUGUUAGGGUCAUGCCACAUCCAGGGCCAACCUGGUACCAGUUCUUGUGAAGGAGAUAGCAAGCUGCGUGGAACUGGAGUCAGCACGAUUCUUCCGAUGGUUAGCAUACUGCUUCCUUGGAGAAUUUGGGUCCAAGUUGGAAAAGAAGUUCUGACAUGAAAGAAGCUGGGACCAUAGAAAGAAGUUGGAACCAAAAACAAGAAAAGAGCAAAAUGGAGUGGUAAUGACCC
rnacentral:lncRNA from 1 species